rnacentral:rRNA from 1 species
AUUGAACGCUGGCGGCAGGCCUAACACAUGCAAGUCGAACGCGAAAGUCCUUCGGGAUGAGUAGAGUGGCGGACGGGUGAGUAACGCGUAGGAAUCUACCUGGUAGUGGGGGAUAACUUGGGGAAACUCAAGCUAAUACCGCAUACGCCCCAAGGGGGAAAGCGGAGGAUCUUCGGACUUCGUGCUAUCAGAUGAGCCUGCGUAAGAUUAGCUAGUUGGUGAGGUAAUGGCUCACAAAGGCGACGAUCCGUAACUGGUCUGAGAGGAUGAUCAGUCACACUGGAACUGAGACACGGUCCAGACUCCUACGGGAGGCAGCAGUGGGGAAUAUUGGACAAUGGGCGCAAGCCUGAUCCAGCCAUGCCGCGUGUGUGAAGAAGGUCUUCGGAUUGUAAAGCACUUUAAGUUGGGAGGAAGGGUAGUAACUUA